rnacentral:rRNA from 1 species
AUUGAACGCUGGCGGCAGGCUUAACACAUGCAAGUCGAGCGGGGGAAGGUAGCUUGCUACCGGACCUAGCGGCGGACGGGUGAGUAAUGCUUAGGAAUCUGCCUAUUAGUGGGGGACAGCAUCUCGAAAGGGAUGCUAAUACCGCAUACGUCCUACGGGAGAAAGCAGGGGAUCUUCGGACCUUGCGCUAAUAGAUGAGCCUAAGUCGGAUUAGCUAGUUGGUGGGGUAAAGGCCUACCAAGGCGACGAUCUGUAGCGGGUCUGAGAGGAUGAUCCGCCACACUGGGACUGAGACACGGCCCAGACUCCGACGGGAGGCAGCAGUGGGGAAUAUUGGACAAUGGGGGGAACCCUGAUCUAGCCAUGCCGCGUGUGUGAAGAAGGCCUUAUGGUUGUAAAGCACUUUAAGCGAGGAGGAGGCUACUCUAGUUAAUACCUAGGGAUAGUGGACGUUACUCGCAGAAUAAGCACCGGCUAACUCUGUGCCAGCCGCCGCGGUAA